rnacentral:ncRNA from 2 species
UACGGAGGGUGCAAACGUUGUUCGGAAUUAUUGGGCGUAAAGAGCAUGUAGGCGGUUGUUUAAGUCUGAUGUGAAAGCCCUGGGCUCAACCCAGGAAGUGCAUUGGAUACUGGACAACUUGAGUACGGGAGAGGAAAGUGGAAUUUCGAGUGUAGGGGUGAAAUCCGUAGAUAUUCGAAGGAACACCAGUGGCGAAGGCGGCUUUCUGGACCGAUACUGACGCUGAGAUGCGAAAGCGUGGGGAGCAAACAGG